rnacentral:rRNA from 1 species
CCUACGGGAGGCAGCAGUGAGGAAUAUUGGUCAAUGGGCGCGAGCCUGAACCAGCCAAGUAGCGUGAAGGAUGAAUGCCCUCCGGGUUGUAAACUUCUUUUAUAAAGGAAUGAAGUGAGGCACGUGUGCCUUUUUGUAUGUACUUUAUGAAUAAGGAUCGGCUAAAUCCGUGCCAGCAGCCGCGGUAAUACGUAGGAUCCGAGCGUUAUCCGGAUUUGUUGGGUUUAAAGGGAGCGUAGAUGGGUUGUUAAGUCAGGUGUGAAAGUUUGCGGCUCAACCGUAAAAUUGCAAUUGAUACUGGCAGCCUUGAGUACAGUUGAGGUAGGCGGAAUUCGUGGUGUAGCGGUGAAAUGCGUAGAUAUCACGAAGAACUCCGAUUGCGAAGGCAGCCUACUAAACUGCCACUGACAUUGAUGCUCGAAAGUGUGGGGAUCAAACAGGAUUAGAUACCCCUGUAGUC